GUACUGGCAGAAGGGUUUUUCAGGGUCCCAGACUUCGCCUUGACCUUGAUGUUCAACAUGAGAGAAGUACAAAGGCUGAUCAGUGCUGAGGUGCUCAGUCUCGGUGCUGAAACACAAAAGCAAUCAGUGCUGAGGUGUUCAGUCACGGUCCUGAAACACAAAAGCAAUCAGUGCUGAGGUUCUCAGUCACGGUCCUGAAACACAAAGGCAGUCAGUGCUGAGGUGCUCAGUCACGGUCCUGAAACACAGAGGCAGUCAGUGCUGAGGUGCUCAGUCACGGUCCUGAAACACAAAGGCAGUCAGUGCUGAGGUGCUCAGUCUCGUUGCUGAAACACAGAAGCAAUCAGUGCUGAUGUGCUCAGUCUCGGUGCUGGAACACAGAGGCAGUCAGUGCUGAGGUGCUCAGUCUCGGUGCUGGAACACAGAGGCAGUCAGUGCUGAGGUGCUCAGUCUCGGUGCUGGAACACAGAGGCAGUCAGUGCCGAGGUGCUUAGUCUCGGUGCUGAAACACAGAGGCAGUCAGUGCCGAUGUGCUCAGUCUCGGUGCUGAAACACAGAGGCAGUCAGUGCUGAGGUGCUCAGUCUCGGUGCUGGAACACAGAGGCAGUCAGUGCUGAGGUGCUCAGUCUCGGUGCUGGAACACAGAGGCAGUCAGUGCUGAGGUGCUCAGUCUCGGUGCUGGAACACAGAAGCAAUCAGUGCUGAUGUGCUCAGUCUCGGUGCUGGAACACAGAGGCAGUCAGUGCUGAGGUGCUCAGUCUCGGUGCUGGAACACAGAGGCAGUCAGUGCUGAGGUGCUCAGUCUCGGUGCUGGAACACAGAGGCAGUCAGUGCUGAGGUGCUCAGUCUCGUUGCUGAAACACAGAAGCAAUCAGUGCUGAUGUGCUCAGUCUCGGUGCUGGAACACAGAGGCAGUCAGUGCUGAUGUGCUCAGUCUCGGUGCUGGAACACAGAGGCAGUCAGUGCUGAUGUGCUCAGUCUCGGUGCUGGAACACAGAGGCAGUCAGUGCUGAUGUGCUCAGUCUCGGUGCUGGAACACAGAGGCAGUCAGUGCUGAGGUGCUCAGUCUCGGUGCUGGAACACAGAGGCAGUCAGUGCUGAUGUGCUCAGUCUCGGUGCUGGAACACAGAGGCAGUCAGUGCUGAUGUGCUCAGUCUCGGUGCUGGAACACAGAGGCAGUCAGUGCUGAGGUGCUCAGUCUCGGUGCUGGAACACAGAGGCAGUCUUUGGUGGUAAAAGUGAACAGUAGUGGUAAACUUUUGGUGUAGAUGUCUGCUGUGUCUAUGCUACUUAGUGCCCUAAGUACUGUGAAUCCUGGUAGACAGUGACGAGGUUUAUCAGCAGUGUUUGCCAACUCAAACUCCCUUAACAGGCUGGUUUAGCUACUAAUGUCGGCAAAUCCAUGAUUUAUUACACUGAGUCAUAUGUGAAUUUAACCAAACUCAAAACAAAAACACCCUCCAGUAUCAGUCUCUACAAUAAUUGCAUUAGUUGGUUUAUAAUAAAGGCAAAAUUGAUCUCUCUCUUCAACCCUGGGUAAUUAAGAGCGUAAAAUCAGAAAAUGCUAAAUGUUUCUUUGUAAUUGUUUCUGUAAUCUUUUCUCCCCUCUGAGGCUUCCUUUUAUAUCUACUGUCACCUCCAUUUAAACAGUGGAUUUCAUUCUAAUAUCUGCUUACAUUAGAAGCAUUAGAAUAGUCAAUAAACAAAAACAAAUGAGCUUGAAAACCGUGAUGAUUAUUUGAGCUGUAAUAGCCUGUAUAUGGUGCUCUUAAUGUGAUCAACACCAAAUGUGAUGCAUUUAGAUGAACAUUCAUGCUUUGGCUAGAGAUAUUAAGGAAAUAGAUAAUAUUCUGUUAAAAUGAUUUCCACGGUAACUGGCAAUACUUUGGUCUAUGUGCAACCAGGAUUUUUAGCUAUAGCAUUUAUGGAUCUCUGAAGUACACUGAAGCUGAUGCUAUAUUCGCUUCUAUUUCUAUGUCUGCUUUUGCCCACUCAUUGUCAUCACGGCCAAGUCCUCAAAUGCCUGAAUGCCUGCCUCUUUGUUAUCGCCUGUCGGCUUAAUGGCAGAGUCGUCGCAAGCAUAGUGUUUUCUGAUCUCUAACCUUUAAGCGAGGAAGCGAACUGCCAGAAAGAGCAGCCCGCUGCUGCACAUUUCACUGCACCAGGAAAUGCCGGUAAUUAGCCACGCGCUAAAGAAGAAUGAUGGUGACUGGGCUCAUUGGCUCCAUGCCAGCGCAGAGCAGAAAUCCCACUUAUUUUUACAUAUGUGUACAUUGUUUCCCUACUAGUUCACCUGCUGUCAUGUUGCUAUGGUAAUCGGUACACAGUACUGUUUCCAUUUAAAAUAGGCAUUUCUCCCACUGCAGCCACUCGGCACUUAAUGCCAGAUGCUGUGACAUACAGAAAGUGCGACAUACUGAAGCUGUUCUCCUAUUCCUCC